UGGGGAAUAUUGGACAAUGGAGGAAACUCUGAUCCAGCAAUUUUGUGUGUGUGAAGAAGGUUUUAGGACUGUAAAACACUUUUAGUAGGGAAGAAAAAAAUGACGGUACCUACAGAAGAAGCAACGGCUAAAUACGUGCCAGCAGCCGCGGUAAUACGUAUGUUGCGAGCGUUAUCCGGAAUUAUUGGGCUUAAAGGGCAUCUAGGCGGUAAGACAAGUUGAAGGUGAAAACCUGUGGCUCAACCAUAGGCUUGCCUACAAAACUGUUGAACUAGAGUACUGGAAAGGUGGGUGGAACUACACGAGUAGAGGUGAAAUUCGUAGAUAUGUGUAGGAAUGCCGAUGAUGAAGAUAACUCACUGGACAGCAACUGACGCUGAAGUGCGAAAGAUAGGGGAGCAAACAGG
rnacentral:rRNA from 1 species